GACUGAGUGGCCAAGUUGGUUAAGGCGUACGACUGUUAGACUAUCGUAAGAUCGAGAGUUCGACCCUCUCCUCGGUCG
rnacentral:tRNA from 1 species